UUCUUCCCAUUCCAUAUAAAGAUGUAUGAUAGUUUCCUUAGGUCCUCUAGUACCUCUAUUGGAAGGCAGGCUAAGAAAUUCCAAAAGUUGAAAAUUCCCAUAACCCCCCAAUGAUACAAUUGGACUCUUCAAGCAUGAGAUAGAAGUUUGCAUGUCACAGUGGCAUAAGUGCAACCAACAUUUAGAAACAACUACAAUUAGAUUUGGACAUUGACAAUACCCCAAGUAACACCUCACCGGUAGAGGAGGAUGGGAGCUCACGACAGCCGGCCACCGGCAUCACACGACCCACUCGUCAACGACGGUCGACCCAAGAUUCUCAGUUUAG
rnacentral:lncRNA from 1 species